CCUACGGGAGGCAGCAGUGAGGAAUAUUGGUCAAUGGACGAGAGUCUGAACCAGCCAAGUAGCGUGAAGGAUGACUGCCCUAUGGGUUGUAAACUUCUUUUAUAUGGGAAUAAAACAGGGUAUGCAUACCCUCUUGUAUGUACCAUAUGAAUAAGGAUCGGCUAACUCCGUGCCAGCAGCCGCGGUAAUACGGAGGAUCCGAGCGUUAUCCGGAUUUAUUGGGUUUAAAGGGAGCGUAGGUGGAUUGUUAAGUCAGUUGUGAAAGUUUGCGGCUCAACCGUAAAAUUGCAGUUGAAACUGGCAGGCUUGAGUACAGUAGAGGUGGGCGGAAUGCGUGGUGUAGCGGUGAAAUGCUUAGAUAUCACGAAGAACUCCGAUUGCGAAGGCAGCUCACUGGACUGCAACUGACACUGAUGCUCGAAAGUGUGGGUAUCAAACAGGAGUAGAUACCCCUGUAGUC
rnacentral:rRNA from 1 species